rnacentral:rRNA from 1 species
UCGAACGAGAAAGUGGAGCAAUCCAUGAGUACAGUGGCGUACGGGUGAGUAACACGUGGGUAAUCUACCUCUUAGUGUGGAAUAACCCUGGGAAACCGGGGCUAAUACCGCAUAAGCUCGAGAGAGGAAAGCAGCAAUGCGCUGAGAGAGGAGCCCGCGGCCGAUUAGCUAGUUGGCAGGGUAAAAGCCUACCAAGGCAAAGAUCGGUAGCCGGCCUGAGAGGGCACACGGCCACACUGGCACUGAAACACGGGCCAGACUCCUACGGGAGGCAGCAGUGGGGAAUCUUGCACAAUGGGGGCAACCCUGAUGCAGCGACGCCGCGUGAGCGAUGAAGCCCUUCGGGGUGUAAAGCUCUUUCGGCAGGGAAGAUUAUGACGGUACCUGCAGAAGCAGCUGCGGCUAACUACGUGCCAGCAGCCGCGGUAAUACGUAGGCAGCGAGCGUUGUUCGGAGUUACUGGGCGUAAAGGGUGUGUAGGCGGUUGUUUAAGUUUGGUGUGAAAUCUCCCGGCUCAACUGGGAGGGUGCGCCGAAUACUGAAUGACUAGAGUACGGGAGAGGAAAGUGGAAUUCCUGGUGUAGCGGUGAAAUGCGUAGAUAUCAGGAGGAACACCGGUGGUGUAGACGGCUUUCUGGACCGUAACUGACGCUGAGACACGAAAGCGUGGGUAGCAAACAGGAUUAGAUACCCUGGUAGUCCACGCCCUAAACGAUGCAUAUUUUGGUGUGGGCAGUUCAUUCUGUCCGUGCCGGGAGCUACGCGUUAAAUAUGCC